rnacentral:rRNA from 1 species
GUAUCUGCCCUUUGGCCUGGAAUAACACGAGGAAACUUGUGCUAAUACCGGAUAAGUCUUUACGGAGAAAGCUUUAUGCACCAUUGGAUGAGCCUGCACUUGAUUAGUUUGUUGGUGGGGUAAUGGCCUACCAAGACUGUGAUCAAUAGCUGAUUUGAGAGGAUGAUCAGCCACAUUGGGACUGAGACACGGCCCAAACUCCUACGGGAGGCAGCAGUGGGGAAUCUUGCACAAUGGAGGAAACUCUGAUGCAGCGAUGCCGCGUGAGUGAAGAAGGCCCUUGGGUUGUAAAGCUCUUUCGUCGGGGAAGAAAAUGACUGUA